GUUCCAGAAAUCAAAUUAAUUUUGCCCUUCCUUGCUCCAGAGCUCCCUGGAUUUUCCUGGAGCCGAGGCAUCAGCACACUGGCAAGGCCACUGAACUGCUCGGGGAAGGAGGAAGGAUAAUCUGAGGAUCGUUUGCCAAGAGGUGCUCCACCCACGGCUGUGACAUUAUUUUGGUGGCUGUGCUCAGCCUGCUCCAUUCCAUACCCUUCCAUCCCAUUCCACACCCUUCCAUCCCAUCCCAUCCCCCUGGUGCCUCGGGUACAGCGACCGUUUGUCACAACACCUCACCCACACACUGCAGCUCUAACCCGACUGCUGACAACAUUUUCUAUUCAGGGGUGGUAGCUGUGAACCUCACUAACUUUGGAUUGCAUCCUUGAGAGGUUUUACCUCUGCAAAUUCAACUGGAAAAGUUCAAGAAUAAAAAUGCACAGAGCACUAAAAGGAACAACCCCCAAAGUCUUCUGUGACUGCCACCCUGUGUCCUCAGGCAUCUUCCAGGAGGUGGAAAAUCGAGGCACUGUGAUGGCACUAUUGUGGCACAGCUUGUGGCACAGAGCUGUCUGGGAGUCACUGCCAGCUGAAGCCAAAAACAAACUCAGCAGCACGGGCUGCAAACCAACACAGGAGGAGCAGAAGAGCCCGGGCAGACCUGCUGCUGUUCCCUUCUGAAGUCACACACAUCUCAAGGUAAAGCACAGCACAAGAUGCUCUGAGAACAAUACUGUUCCUUACAGCCCCUUUUUAAGUCUAUCUCCAGAGGAAAAACUCGUGUUUGUUAAACCCCAGCACAUGUGAGAAGCCACGACAAAGCAAAUAAAGCUGUAGAGGUUUAAGUUGCA
rnacentral:lncRNA from 1 species